UCGGCUUCAAACUCUGUGUUUUCGACAAUUUCCAGCCGAAAUAAUUUAGGCAACUUGACGCCGAUUAGUUGCCUUUUGUUUUAAUUUUAUUCUGCACGUUCCAACAUGCCGUACAGUUUAAGGCCGCAUGCAAAUUAGAUAUGCUGCUCUGAAAGUACUCGCAUAUUUAUUUAGCAAGGUAUGGGCAUCGUUAAUCUAUUUAGCGAACUAAUAUCUUUAUCUCCUGGAUCUACAGAUCUACAAACGCAUCAACAUUCGUAUCGUGCUAGGCGCCGCGGAGAUCUGGACUGACAGAAACAAAGUGAAGCGAAAGAGCGAUGUCUCGUUUCCGCUACUUGAAGACUUGGAAAAAUACAGAAAAGAUAUCUUACGCAAGAAAUUUCCGACCCAUGACAACGCACAGCUUCUUUGUAAUGACGGAUGGGACGACAGGACCGGGGGGCUUGCUGGCCUGUACCACAUGUGUACACCUAAAUCUUGCGCCAUUGACGCGGUGAUGACAAUAUCGAGUGUUGCUCUCAGUGCACCAGACUGGGACUUUGUGAGCGGCUACUACCUCUAUUACAGUACAGACGGAGAGUCUUGGAAGGCGUACAUCGAACAGGAUGAGCAGGCGAAACUAAAUUCUACAUUUCUCCAUGAGAUGAGCUUUUUAUGUCUCUGUAACGAGGGUAGCAAAGAUGCCACUGUAAUUUUUAACCUCGCGUAUGCAUUGGAUCAGUAGAAACAUCGGGAUUAUAUCCAACCUAAGACAUUUCACCCCAUUUUCAACUUUAUCAAAUAUAUAUAGAUCUUUAAUUCAACCUUUGAUUACAUAUGGUCUUGUAGCCUGGGGCCAGGCUGCACGUUCACAUUUAGACAAAAUUCUUGUUCUACAAAAAAAGGCAGUUCGCCUCAUGAAUUUCGCUCCCUUUCGUUCUCAUGCUGUACCAUAUUUCAUUCAAUCUAAUAUCCUGCCAGUUAGUAUGCUUUACUACAAAUCUUUAGCUUCUCUAAUGUUUGAUGUCUAUAAUAAUGCUGCUCCGCCUAACAUUCUUAAUCUUUUCACACGUCUUCAUGAAAUUAACCAAUACAACACCCGUGGUUCGUCGGUCGGUAAUUUUUAUAUCAAACAAUCGAGACUUAACCAACAAAAAUACUUUUUCUCAAGAAUUGGAGCUCAAGUUUGGAAUAGCCUGAACACCAACAUCAGGAAAUCGCCAAAAUAUGAAUUUAAAAAAGAAGUCCAAUCAAUGCUUUUUCAAAUGCUUGAGACUGAGGACAGUUAUGCUGACAUAUAUACGAUACUCAAUAUUCAACAAUAAUCCUCCCAAUUUUUCUUCUUUACUCUUUUCCUACUUUUCUUAAUAUGCAAACAAAAAAUGUCUAUAAUUUAAUACUUAUUAUGUAUACUAUAGUUCUUUUUACUAUUUAUGAAAUCUAACGUCCUUCACACUGUCGGCCUAGACUAGCUAAGCUAUUUGCCGACAGUGUGUUUAUGUAAAAUAUUAUUUGUAAAA